GGAUGGAUCAGAGUCAGAUGUAUCGGAGAUAGGGUGGGGAGAUGAAGGAUCACGACCAAGGGCUCGUCCUCUACCCCGUCUGCCUCUGCCACGAGUGGAGGUGCCGGCACGAGUGGGCGGGCGAGAUGAUCCUGAAGGCUGAGAAGCAACAGACUGAACUGCAAGAGAGAGUCUGAUGGUGUCUAGAAGGUUCAGAGCUCUCGAAACAGACUGUAGCAGUGCAGUGAACUGGGUAGAUACA
rnacentral:lncRNA from 1 species